GAGUCCUUCAGGAAUCUGUGCAUAGAAUGCCAUAGUGCAGAGGAAACAGCCCCAGAAAAUGGAACAUCUGCUAAGUGAGACUCCUCAGCCAGGCCAGAGAAUGUGCAUUCUGAUGGACUGCUUCUCAUUUGCACCGAUCACUGUGAGUGCCUGAUGGGUGGGCAUCUGGUGCCCAGAGAAGGAGUUGUUCUAUUAUCCUUACACUCCAUAAAGAACAGGUAGAAAUGAAUGCUUACCAAGAUGAAAUCCACCCAUUGUUUCUGAAUGGCUCAGUUUUGAUUUCAUCUUCCAAGAGAGUAUCAUGGAACUGAACUUUCAAGAUCAUGGCAUCUGGACAUGGAGACAACAGAACCCUCAUCUGGCCACCUGCUGCUUGUUGACCAAUUCCCAUAUAAACCACUAACUUCAGUCAGUUGGAGAGACGGAUUUGAGAUUUGCCUUCUGUCUCUCAGCUGAUGUCACCAGCAAUAAAGCCUUCUUCCCUGGC
rnacentral:sRNA from 1 species